rnacentral:rRNA from 1 species
GAUGAACGCUGGCGGCGUGCUUAACACAUGCAAGUCGAACGAUGAAGCUGGAGCUUGCUCUGGUGGAUUAGUGGCGAACGGGUGAGUAACACGUGAGCAACCUGCCCCUGACUCUGGGAUAACAGCCGGAAACGGCUGCUAAUACCGGAUAUGCACCAUGAACGCAUGUUCUGUGGUGGGAAAGAUGUUUCGGUUGGGGAUGGGCUCGCGGCCUAUCAGCUUGUUGGUGAGGUAAUGGCUCACCAAGGCGUCGACGGGUAGCCGGCCUGAGAGGGUGACCGGCCACACUGGGACUGAGACACGGCCCAGACUCCUACGGGAGGCAGCAGUGGGGAAUAUUGCACAAUGGGCGAAAGCCUGAUGCAGCAACGCCGCGUGAGGGAUGACGGCCUUCGGGUUGUAAACCUCUUUUAGCAGGGAAGAAGCGAGAGUGACGGUACCUGCAGAAAAAGCGCCGGCUAACUACGUG